UACGAGGGGUGCAAGCGUUGCUCGGAAUUAUUGGGCGUAAAGGGCAAGUAGGUGGUCUCAUUUGUCUGGGGUGAAAGCCUUGAGCUUAACUCAAGAAGUGCCCCAGAAACGGUGAGACUCGAGUCCUGGAGAGGGUCGUGGAAUUCCCGGUGUAGCGGUGAAAUGCGCAGAUAUCGGGAGGAACACCGGUGGCGAAGGCGGUUCUCUGGGCCUUACCUGACGCUGAGGAGCGAAAGCGUGGGGAGCGAACAGG
rnacentral:rRNA from 1 species